rnacentral:lncRNA from 1 species
AUAAAUGGACAAUAAUGUAUAAAUAUGCUUUUUUUUUACAUUCAGUUUGACAGAUGAAUACCUCAUUACUUCUGUUAUUUGAUCUUUAUGAUUAUUAUAUCAAGAGAGGUUGAGAAUGGGGAAACAAUUUAAUCGAUCAACCAAUCAGAGAGUGAUCUGAUCAAUUUCCAAAAAAUACUGUAGAGAGAAUUACAUCUCUUUCAAAAUUUCCCACAAAAGAAAAAAAAAUCUUUUUAGAUUUAACCUAAUCAUUUGCUCUUGCCCUAGAAUCUCAACCAGUCAGUGACAGUUGGUGAUGGAUUCUUUGACCCCUGGGGUGCCACUGUAACAUAACUGGAAUAUGAGGGCAGGGAGAGAAUGGAGUCUUCCCUCCCUUCUGGGUCAGGACCAGAGUGAGGUGGAGAAAGCAGGUGCUGCAGAACAUUCAGAGCUUGACUUUGGUCAGCCAUGGAAGACACUGCAUCCUGGGCCAUUGACUUUUUUUGUCUUGCCAUUAGACUUCGAUGAGUGGAAGAAAUAGGAUGGGAUCAUUCAGUCAAAGGGUAUAAACAAUCGAUGGACUUUUCUCGCAUGAUUUUAUUGUUUUCUAUAAUGAUUGGAUUAAUUAAUAUCUCUAGCAAAUGGAUCAAUGCUUUAGUCUUCCUCCAACUUUGAUUGAUUGUUGUUGUUUUGAACAUUUGUCUGACUUUGUGACCCCAUUUGGGAUUUCUUGGUAAAGUUACUGGAGUGGCCAUUUCCUUCUACAGCUCAUUUGACAAAUGAAGAAACUGAAACAAAAAGAGUUAAGUGACUUGGCCAGGGUUACACAGCUAGUAAGCUGCUAAAUCUAGAUUUGAACUCAGGUACUCCUGAGUCUAAGUCUGUCACCUAACUUUGACUAUAUUUAACUUUUGCCACUUUUGCCUAGGUCGAUUUAAAUGGCUACCUUAUUGACUUUGGAGAAUGAUGCUUUGCAUCUCUUAGUGUAUAGAAUAAUUUUAUUCUGGCUGGAACCUUGGAUAAUAGGAAUUAGAGCUACAAAGGAGCUUGUAGAUUUCAUUAUAUAGAUGAGGGAAUUGAAUACAGAAAAGCUUCAGUCAUUUUCCCACAGUCACACAACUAGUAAAUAUGCCAGAAUCUGAACGAAAGUCCUUUCAUACCAAUUCAGUAUGAUAGAGUUCCACCAUAACAUUCUGCUUCUAUAGGAGUCUUCAAAUGGGUCCUUCCAUACCAAUCCAGUAUGAUACAGUUCCACCAUAACAUUCUGCUUCUAUAUGAUUCUUCAAAUGUUCUCUCCCUAAAUAGAAACACUUAGAAAUACUUGGCCAAUAUAAGUCUUUUUCUUAUUUCAAAAGUUUUCUAGACCAAAUCUUGAAUGCAAAAAUGUGUCCAAACAUGGAACUAGGCAUAGUAUUAAUAGUCUUUUUUUUUUAAACCCUUACCUUCCAUCUUAGAAUCAAUACUGGGCAUUGGUUCCAAGGUAGCAGAGCUGUAAGGACUGGACAAUGGGAGUUAAGUGAUUAGCCCAGAGCCACAGAGCU